AUGGCCGCCUCCUCCAGCGCCGCACCAACCAACCUCUCUGGUCAGGUCACCGAGAAGCUGACACGCACCAACUACAUCCUCUGGCGGACUCAAGUCAUGCCGCAGCUUCGUGGUGCUGGCUUCUACGGGUAUGUCGACGGCUCCAUGCCGGAGCCGGCCCGACUCGUCGUCACCAAGGACAAAGAAGGGAAGGAGGAGACUUCCCUGAACCCCCUUCAUCCGAUCUGGAUGCGCGAAGAGCAGCAGGUACUUGGCUACCUUCUGAAUAAUCUCUCCAAGGAGGUACUUGUGCAGGUCACCACGAUCGAUCAUGCGCAAGAUCUCUGGACAGCACUGGCGAACAUGUUCUCGUCCCAGUCUCUGUCACGCGUCAACAACAUCCAUGUCGCCCUCGCCAAUGCGCAGAAGGGGACGCAGCCCGUCGCCAGCUUCUUCGGGCACAUGUGCUCACUCUCAGAUGAGCUCGCGGCGGCUGGCAAGCCACUCGGGGACGGUGAACUCGUCUCCUACAUCAUCGCCGCCCUCGACAUGGAGUACCAGCCACUCGUCUCCGCGCUCGAUGCCCGCACCACGCCCGUCUCGCUUGACGAUCUGUUUGCUAUGAUCAGCAACUUUGAUCAGCGGGUUGCCCUCUAUCAAGGGGGCCACUCUGGCGGCGGCUUCAAGUCCUCCGCUAACGCGGCCAUGCGCGGCCAUGGCGGCGGCUCCCGUCCUUGA
rnacentral:rRNA from 1 species